GGUCCAGACUCCUACGGGAGGCAGCAGUAGGGAAUCUUCCGCAAUGGGCGAAAGCCUGACGGAGCAACGCCGCGUGAGUGAUGAAGGUCUUCGGAUCGUAAAACUCUGUUAUUAGGGAAGAACAUACGUGUAAGUAACUAUGCACGUCUUGACGGUACCUAAUCAGAAAGCCACGGCUAACUACGUGCCAGCAGCCGCGGUAAUACGUAGGUGGCAAGCGUUAUCCGGAAUUAUUGGGCGUAAAGCGCGCGUAGGCGGGUUUUUAAGUCUGAUGUGAAAGCCCACGGCUCAACCGUGGAGGGUCAUUGGAAACUGUAAAACUUGAGUGCAGAAGAGGAAAGUGGAAUUCCAUGUGUAGCGGUGAAAUGCGCAGAGAUAUGGAGGAACACCAGUGGCGAAGGCGACUUUCUGGUCUGUAACUGACGCUGAUGUGCGAAAGCGUGGGGAUCAAACAGGAUUAGAUACCCUGGUAGUCCACGCCGUAAACGAUGAGUGCUAAGUGUUAGGGGGUUUCCGCCCCUUAGUGCUGCAGCUAACGCAUUAAGCACUCCGCCUGGGGAGUACGACCGCAAGGUUGAAACUCAAAGGAAUUGACGGGGACCCG
rnacentral:rRNA from 1 species